rnacentral:rRNA from 1 species
GAUGAACGCUGGCGGCGUGCCUAAUACAUGCAAGUCGAGCGAACAGAUGAGGAGCUUGCUCCUCUGACGUUAGCGGCGGACGGGUGAGUAACACGUGGAUAACCUACCUAUAAGACUGGGAUAACUUCGGGAAACCGGAGCUAAUACCGGAUAAUAUAUUGAACCGCAUGGUUCAAUAGUGAAAGACGGUCUUGCUGUCACUUAUAGAUGGAUCCGCGCCGCAUUAGCUAGUUGGUAAGGUAACGGCUUACCAAGGCAACGAUGCGUAGCCGACCUGAGCGGGUGAUCGGCCACACUGGAACGGAGACACGGUCCAGACUCCUACGGGAGGCAGCAGUAGGGAAUCUUCCGCAAUGGGCGAAAGCCUGACGGAGCAACGCCGCGUGAGUGAUGAAGGUCUUCGGAUCGUAAAACUCUGUUAUUAGGGAAGAACAAAUGUGUAAGUAACUAUGCACGUCCUGACGGUACCUAAUCAGAAAGCCACGGCUAACUACGUG